rnacentral:rRNA from 1 species
UACGUAGGGGGCAAGCGUUGUCCGGAAUCAUUGGGCGUAAAGAGCGUGUAGGCGGCUUGGUAAGUCCGCUGUGAAAGUCCAGGGCUCAACCCUGGAAUGCCGGUGGAAACUGUCAAGCUUGAGUCCGGAAGAGGCGAGUGGAAUUCCUGGUGUAGCGGUGAAAUGCGCAGAUAUCAAGGAGGAACACCAAUGGCGAAGGCAGCUCGCUGGGACGGUACUGACGCUGGAGACGCGAAAGCGUGGGGAGCAAACAGG